CAAUAAGCGGAGGAAAAGAAACCAACAGGGAUUACCUCAGUAACGGCGAGUGAAGCGGUAACAGCUCAAAUUUGAAAUCUGGCUCUUGGGCCCGAGUUGUAAUUUGUAGAAGAUGCUUUGGGUGUGGCUCCGGUCUAAGUUCCUUGGAACAGGACGUCAUAGAGGGUGAGAAUCCCGUACGUGACUGGUCGCCUUCGCCCGUGUAAAGCUCUUUCGACGAGUCGAGUUGUUUGGGAAUGCAGCUCAAAAUGGGUGGUAUAUUUCAUCUAAAGCUAAAUAUUGGCCAGAGACCGAUAGCGCACAAGUAGAGUGAUCGAAAGAUGAAAAGCACUUUGGAAAGAGAGUUAAACAGUACGUGAAAUUGUUGAAAGGGAAGCGCUUGCAACCAGACUUGCAGGCUGCUGAUCAUCCGGGGUUCUCCCCGGUGCACUCGGUAGUCUUCAGGCCAGCAUCGGUUUGGGUGGUGGGAUAAAGGCCUUGGGAAUGUGGCUCUCUUCGGGGAGUGUUAUAGCCCAAGGUGCAAUGCCGCCUACCUGGACCGAGGACCGCGCUUCGGCUAGGAUGCUGGCGUAAUGGUUGUAAGCGACCCGUCUUGAAACACGGACCAAGGAGUCUAACAUCUAUGCGAGUGUUUGGGUGUCAAACCCAUACGCGGAAUUAACGUGAACGGAGGUAAGAACCCUUAAGGGUGCAUUAUCGACCGAUCCUGAUGUCUUCGGAUGGAUUUGAGUAAGAGCAUAGCUGUUGGGACCCGAAAGAUGGUGAACUAUGCCUGAAUAGGGUGAAGCCAGAGGAAACUCUGGUGGAGGCUCGCAGCGGUUCUGACGUGCAAAUCGAUCGUCAAAUUUGGGUAUAGGGGCGAAAGACUAAUCGAACCAUCUAGUAGCUGGUCCUGC
rnacentral:rRNA from 1 species